rnacentral:rRNA from 1 species
GUUUGAUUCUGGCUCAGGAUGAACGCUGGCGGCAUGCCUAAUACAUGCAAGUCGAACGGAGUGAAGCCUUCGGGUUUCAUUCAGUGGCGAACGGGUGAGUAAUACGCAGGGAACCUGGCCAUGGCAGGGGGAUACACUCUGGAAACGGAGCAUAAGACCCCAUAGGCAGUAAGGCGGCAUCGCCUUACUGUUAAAGAAAGCUGAAAGGCUUUGGCGAUGGAUGGACCUGCGGUGCAUUAGCUUGUUGGUGAGGCAACGGCUUACCAAGGCGAUGAUGCAUAGCCGGCCUGAGAGGGCGGACGGCCACACUGGGACUGAGACACGGCCCAGACUCCUGCGGGAGGCAGCAGUAGGGAAUUUUCGUCAAUGGGCGCAAGCCUGAACGAGCAAUGCCGCGUGAGUGAGGAAGGUCUUCGGACUGUAAAGCUCUGUUGCCGGGGAAAAAGGGGAAAUGCAGGAAAUGGCAUUUCAUGGAUGGUACCCGGCCAGAAAGCCACGGCUAACUACGUGCCAGCAGCCGCGGUAAUACGUAGGUGGCGAGCGUUAUCCGGAAUGAUUGGGCGUAAAGGGUGCGCAGGCGGUCUGUUAAGUCUGAAGGCAAAGGGAUGAGCUCAACUCAUUUAUGAUUCAGAAACUGGCAGACUUGAGGACAGGAGAGGGCGGUGGAACUCCAUGUGUAGCGGUAAAAUGCGCAGAGAUAUGGAAGAACACCAGUGGCGAAGGCGGCCGCCUGGCCUGUGACUGACGCUGAGGCACGAAAGCGUGGGGAGCAAAUAGGAUUAGAUACCCUAGUAGUCCACGCCGUAAACGAUGAGGAGCAGGUGUUGGGAGUGAAAUCUCAGUGCCGAAGCCAACGCAGUGACUCCUCCGCCUGGGGAGUAUGCACGCAAGUGUGAAACUCAAAGGAAUUGACGGGGGCCCGCACAAGCGGUGGAGUAUGUGGUUUAAUUCGAAGCAACGCGAAGAACCUUACCAGGUUUUGACAUCGGAUGCGAAGGUGCAGAGAUGCGCUGGAGGCUAUCAUCCAGACAGGUGGUGCAUGGUUGUCGUCAGCUCGUGUCGUGAGAUGUUCAGUUAAGUCUGGCAACGAGCGCAACCCCCGUGGUAUGUUACUAACGCUUAGGGCGAGGACUCAUAUCAGACUGCCGGUGACAAACCGGAGGAAGGCGGGGAUGACGUCAAAUCAUCAUGCCCCUUAUGACCUGGGCUACACACGUACUACAAUGGCGUCUACAGAGGGAAGCGACCCUGAGAAGGGAAGCGAAACCGGAAAAGGGCGUCCCAGUUCGGAUUGAAGUCUGCAACCCGACUUCAUGAAGAUGGAAUCGCUAGUAAUCGCGGAUCAGCAUGCCGCGGUGAAUACGUUCCCGGGCCUUGUACACACCGCCCGUCAAACCAUGGAAGCCGGCAACGCCCGAAGCCGGUGGCAUAACCUUUUAGGAGUGAGCCGUCGAAGGCGGGGCCGAUGACUGGGGUUAAGUCGUAACAAGGUACCC